rnacentral:rRNA from 1 species
UACGUAGGGUGCAAGCGUUGUCCGGAAUUAUUGGGCGUAAAGAGCUCGUAGGUGGUCUGUCGCGUCUGCUGUGAAAACCCGAGGCUCAACCUCGGGCCUGCAGUCGAUACGGGCAGACUAGAGUUCGGUAGGGGAGAUCGGAAUUCCUGGUGUAGCGGUGAAAUGCGCAGAUAUCAGGAGGAACACCAAUUGCGAAGGCAGCUCGCUGGGACGUUACUGACGCUGAGACGCGAAAGCGUGGGGAGCGAACGGG